GUUUCUGUAGUUGUAGCGGUUAUCACGUUUGCUUCACACGCAAAAGCUCCCUGGUUCAAUGCCAGGCAGAAACA